UAGUAAGAUGUGCUCCGUGAGGCGGU
rnacentral:piRNA from 1 species